rnacentral:rRNA from 1 species
GUCUUUUUGAGUUAUUUUUAAAGUCUGACCUGCCCACUGAAUAUUUUUAAAUGGCCGCAGUAUUCUAACUGUGCAAAGGUAGCAUAAUCAUUAGUCUUUUAAUUGAAGGCUGGUAUGAACGGUUGGACGAAGUAUAAGCUGUUUCAUAUAAAAUUAUAUUAGAAUUUUAUAUUUUAGUUAAAAAGCUAAAAUAUUAUUAAAAGACGAGAAGACCCUAUAAAUCUUUAUAUUUAAUAUUAUUCAAAUUUUUUUGAUUAAUUUUAUUUUUAUAAUAUUAAAUAUUUUGUUGGGGUGAUAUUAAAAUUUUAUAAACUUUUAAUUUUGAAUUAGAACAUUAAUUUAUGAAUAGUUGAUCCAUUAUUAAUGAUUAUAAGAUUAAGUUACUUUAGGGAUAACAGCGUAAUUUUUUUUGAGAGUUCAUAUCGACAAAAAAGUUUGCGACCUCGAUGUUGGAUUAAGAUAUAUAUUUAGGUGUAGCCGUUUAAAUAUUAAGUCUGUUCGACUUUUAAAUUCUUACAUGAUCUGAGUUCAAACCGGAG